rnacentral:rRNA from 1 species
GACGAACGCUGGCGGCGUGCUUAACACAUGCAAGUCGAGCGGUAAGGCCCUUUCGGGGGUACACGAGCGGCGAACGGGUGAGUAACACGUGGGUGACCUGCCCUUAGCUCUGGGAUAAGCCUGGGAAACUGGGUCUAAUACCGGAUAUGACUCCAUGACGCAUGUUGUGGGGUGGAAAGCCUUGUGCGGCUAGGGAUGGGCCCGCGGCCUAUCAGCUUGUUGGUGGGGUGAUGGCCUACCAAGGCGACGACGGGUANCCGGCCUGAGAGGGCGACCGGCCACACUGGGACUGAGACACGGCCCAGACUCCUACGGGAGGGCAGCAGUGGGAAUCUUGCGCAAUGGCGAAAGCCUGACGCAGCGACGCCGCGUGAGGGAUGACGGCC